UGAGCAAAGAACUCUGCAUUUUUUUUACCAACAAAUUAUGCAACCAGUCAUGCUUGGAAAUAAAACUUUACACAUUUAAUUGAUAUAUGUGUGUGUGUGUGUGUAUACACACACAUAUACAUGUGUAUACAUAU